CUCGACUCACCUCUACGAAGCAAUCGUGAGCAAGCAGCCGGAGUGUUGACGGCGUGACUACGUUGGACUGAUUGGCCAUCGCGCUGACCGCGUUGUGAACGAGCUUGUCUACAUCGGGGCAGGUCCUGUUGUAGAAAUCCACCGAGAGCUGCGACGAUCCGAGAUCCGAAAGGGAGAGCAGGGAAACGAAGAGGAGGAGGAGCGAGCAGCGCAUGGUGAUGCCUCCUCUGGCUUCCUUCACACAGGAGAAACUAAUUGCUGGAACCAAAAACUGAUCGAUCGCUCGCUCGCUCGCUCGCUUGCUGCUGCAGUUUUCUUUCGCUCCCUUUCUUGCAACAGAUGCAACAGCUGUGGGAGCAAAGCAGAAAAGUAAAAGAAGAAACGCAGGCCAGAGAAACCCACCGUGGGAGGAGAGAUUUCCCAGCGAGUAAACAGAUUUGGAAGAGAAAUACACCAAAACAGCCUCAAAACUGGAGCUUCAGGGCACCUGCAGCAACAGCACCUUCAUCGCUUGGUCACUUCACUACCUUUUCUGAGAAAGUGAUGGCUAGCAGCAAGCUUUGGCUAUGGCAGGCCUUAUUGUUCUUAUCAAAGUUCCUGAAGGAGAGAGUGCCUUGGAGCAGCCACUAUCAGGAUGCCACAACAAGCCAACAAAACAUUGAUUGCUUCACAAGAGGAAAACUCUCUCUGGAGAUGGCAAUUGAUGUGAGAUCACAAAUGCAGUUAAGUCUGGCCUUUUUUUACAUGUCUAUCUCUCUCCUUUUCCACUCUUAAGAUAUUUUUCUUUCUAGCA